AGUGAUUGCAAAGGAGCUGGAUGUGCAGGGCCAUGGAAUCCCGAUGACAGUGGCCAACAUCACCUACAUAGGCAUGAACGACCUCCAUGCUGUUGGCGGCCUUGGCACGCUACUGUUCUACCUUUAUCUCCUGGAGGUCAAGAUGGAUGUUGACAUUCCCAACACUGUUCAGGGUAAUUCAUUCAUUCAUGCCCCAUACUUGGCAUGCUAUUGUUCUAACUUUAUCUCCUGGAGGUCAAGAUGGAGGUCAAGGUGGAUCGGCAGGAGCUAGAAGUAAGGUUAUCUCCUUUUUCUUCCAUUCCGAAGAUGGUUGCCAUUUAUACAUUUCAAGUUAGUAGCUAUUCCAUUGUAUCACAAUAGAGAAGUAAUUUGGUUGCGUGAAAAACAUCUAGGUUUCUCACUGGAGCGGAACUCCUUUGCACGGAGUCUCAUAACGCAGACUCAUCCCUGAAAGCACUAUGACAGCACUCAGGUUCAAUCAUGUGUUGCCCCCUGAAGGUCGGUUGCGUGCUUGAUCAUCCUGUCACAUCACAUAUAUUCAUGUUGGCAUUGUGUGGGCCUAACAAAAAAUGCUUGGUUUGCUACAAUUUUAGGCUGCUCCUGUGUCCAGCCUUGCCAAUCAGGCCGGCCUCCACAUGCUGGAGGCGCCGCUGAUUGCUCUCCAGGUUCCCCAAGAUCAUGCAGCAGGUACUUAGCCAGCUACCAUUGUGAAUGAAUGGCAGACUCGCCCCCGGCUGUUUGUAACAAAACUGGAAGUUUGAAACUCUUGCUUUGUUCAUGGUUUGGCGUACCUACCCUGGCGGUGUGUGCGUGUUCUUGCAAAUAAGGUCUAUGGCCCAUUUACAUAUAUUUGAUGCUCUUAGAUGGACAUGAAAACACUUGCUUGUAGAUUUGGCGCCACUAUAUUUUAGGUCCAUGUUCUAACUGUCAAUAAUAUGGCACUACACUUGGUUUUAUCUCCUGUUUUUUAGAGUUCGAUGAAAAACUGCCACACCAAAGUUGGUUGCUUCUAGGUGCUAUUGUAUAGUGAAUGAUAACUGAUUUAUAGUCCUGAGAUGUUUAUUUGUGUUCUCUUCCCAAACAUAGCUACUGUUUUAAUUUUGAUUUGGUCGCUAUUAUGAUUGCUUAAGCUUCAUCAUGUUCCCUCUUCUUUUCAGAAAAAGAACAUUUAGCUUAUUCUUUGUGGUUGUCUAAUCUUCCAUAACCUCGGCUUGCGCAACCGUUGCAGUUGUCGUCACCUCUUCUUGGUUCAGGUGAGCCCUUGAUCUCCCUCCCUCUUUUUCACUGAGAUAGUCUGCCAAAUUUUGAAUGUUGAUUCAGUGUUCAGAUCUCCGGUGGUUUUCUUCUGGCCACCACAAUCAUGUGAGCUUGCUGGAUUUUUGUCCCUAUGAGCUGGCCGAAUUGAUUAUUUCAAAAUGGUAAGGAUUUUUGGCAGUCAAGGGCUUAGUUGGAUUGAAAAUGUGAAAUCUAAGCCCUUUGACAAAUUAAAUGUUGUCUCUCGACUAUGGAGCAAAAUUAUAUGAUUUGGUCUUUGUUUGUUAUCUUGUCACGUAGUUGGACGAAAUGGGAACUUCCCUAUCUGCUAAAUCGAGCACGCAUUGCAUUAGCUUCAUUGAGUAAGUGCCAUAUCGAGCGAAGCAGAGCAGGAGCUUGCUCUUGUCUUGGCGCUAUUUUUGGUACUGCUAUCGCGUCAUGUUUAUUUGGUUACGGUCACCAUUGAUGAACAGUUCAUCUACAGUUUGAAAUAAGUUCGGGUCAGAACACUGGUUUUUUUCCCUUGCAUUUUUGGUUCAAAAAGUACCAGUUUGAUUAGCUGCAGUUCGUAUUUGUACUAUAUAGAACACAUAUUAAUAAAUUAGCUCAAUGGAAUAAGCGCGUAACCAAGCUAAGGGUAGCAGGGCUUGCACUUGUCUUGUUGCUAUAUUUGGUACUGCGAUGGUGUCAUGUUCAGUUAGUUACUAUCACCAUCGAUCAACUAGAUUCCAUUUGCAUUUUGAAACUAGUUUUGAUAAAGAACACUGAUACCUGUAGUAUUUUUGGUUGAAAAAGCACCAGCAUGAUAGGGCAGUGGAGUUCUAAUUCUUGAGUGACACACUGUGACAGUGUGACCGCAUUAUGGAAUUUUUUUAACCUGUUAUGCCAAUGCCUCUUCACUGUUUGAUAUCUAACCGUGUACUUAUUUUGAUGUCCUUUGUAACAGAAUUUACCCAGAAAUGCCCUUUUAGCAUGGAAAAAUAAAUUUCAUUCUACGCUCUCAACUAUACAUGUAGUGAGAAUGAUGAACAUCUUUGUUCUUGUUGUUGUUGCCUACAGCACGUGCCACUUGGUCUGGUGCAGGGCAGGGUGAUGCAUGUGGCGUAGCUGCCCAGCAAGAUGGGCCUCGUCGACAAGAGGUGCAGGAAGGAACGAUCAUAUGGUCAUUGUUGUGAUUGCGGAUGCUCACCAAGAUCACAUCGCCCAAAGCAUGAAUUUCUGGACCUCACCAUCUAUUCCUCGGUCCAGGCAAGUUUGUGGUCUCCUCCUCCCCCCCUCUCUCUCUCUCNNNNNNNNNNNNNNNNNNNNNNNNNNNNNNNNNNNNNNNNNNNNNNNNNNNNNNNNNNNNNNCACACACACAGAGAUACACAUACACAUACGUGCACCCCUAGAUUGUCAGUCAUCUGAGUCGUGGUUGAUCGUGGUUCGGGCCAUCGAGCCAAUGAUUAGUGUUUGGAUCUACGGUGGCAUUCUUGUGUGACUGGUUGAUCAUCUUUCUUGUUGAUGAGACUGGUACCUUGUAUUUUUGUGCUGGGUCCUGUUUAGCACUUCAUGCUACACGGUUUGGUAAUGUCAUGCUUAGUUUUGAUAGAUAGGAUCCAUCCUUACUUAUUUUGGGAUUUUGACUUGUUGGUGGUUUGCUAGAAUCAAAUAGAAGAAAAUGCUUACUUGGUGUAGUGUGGCUGGUGCAUAGAUAGAUAGAACAAGUGCCAUCCUCGUGUACUUUUGAGGGAGCCAUCAUGUGUUGGCAAUAUUUAUGAUAAGUCGUGGAUGCUUUUGCCCAUGAAGAGUGGAUAUUAUUCUGGCUUUGGAACUACCUUUUUUAUCAGUCUAUUCAUGAUUGAGUCCAGACUUUUUUUUGGUUGUAUGAAAUGUUAGCCUGCAUUUGCUUAGGUUAGGACAACAUGUGUUUUGUGUUUUUCUGUAAACAAAUGUUUUGUGAUUUUUCAGAGUGAAUGUCUACUUGGGGUAACAACCUUCUUAACAAGAGCCUUUCUGGUCAAAUUCCACAAUCCUUGACAUAUUUGAUCUUGUAGGCGUCAAAAUUUUUGUGGCAUUGAGCCGUUAUACAAGUGCUGAGGUUAUUUGCAUUUUGUAAAAGCUAGCUUUUGGUUAUUUGUUAUGUUGCAUCGCUCUGCUGUUGGCUGAAAUGGUGUGUUGUGAGUGUCGUGUCCAAAGCAAAGCAAUUUGUCAAGUAGAGAGAAUAAUUUUUCUGGGCUGGCUUAUGAUCUUCGCCUAUACAAAGGGAUAGUGUAUUUGUUGGUUGGAAAAAGUGAUGCAUACCAUUGGUACUUUGCUUUUGUCAGGACCCCGACUCAAUGCCACAUCGAUCCAGCAUGUAACACUUCAUAUCACUUUGCGGCCUCACGCACGGUAUUCCCACGGGUGUCGCCUUACCUUUACCCGGGAUCGUUUGCGUCUUUUGGCACACGUAUAUGAUAAUGUCGCUAGCAUCCAUAUGAUAAGGAGCCCGGGCUGACAUGGCUAUUCGUAAACCCAAAGUGGCACAAACUUACAGGGACAGACAUCCAUGACCCAGCAUCGAACGUGUCGGUCAUCAGCGAGUGAAUCCAGGCUGUAGCACUGGGCUAGCAGGACUUCGGUGAACCAGGCUGUAGCGGGCUAACAGGACUCCGGUAUUCAUCGCGUGACAUUUCCCCGAAGGGACAGACACAGGAACGAAGAAGGACACAUGCCGGCCAGCCUAAGUGUUUCGGAGCAGUAGCAAGCUACCAUGGCUCGGUGGAAACACUAGGAGACAUUUCCCGGUAAGAGAGGCUACUAAAGAUAAACAACUAGAUAGUCAGAUCCCACACAUAUCAAGCAUUUCAAUAACAUACACACAAUAUGCUCGAUAUGUGCAAUACAACAUGGCAUCACAAAAUGACUCUACGACUCAAGUAGUUUAUUCAAUAGGCUUCGAGGAGCGAGACAUUACAAACAUGGGUCUCAUGACCCAACAAUCAGAGCAUACAAGUCAAAGCACAAGCGGAAGCUAUCAUGUCUGGGUACAGACAUCUAUAAAUGAAAAAGGCUGAGAAGCCUGACUAUCUAUCAGAUCCUGCCGAGGGCACAAGAUCGUAGCUGAGGUAACAAGCUAAACGUCGAAGUCCACGUGGAACUACUAGUGAGACUGAAGUCUCUCUGCAAAAACAUAAAAUAGGCAAACGUGAGUACAAAUGUACCCAGCAAGACUUACAUCAAAACUAACUACAUAUGCAUCAUUUUCAACAAGGGGAUGGUGGGGUUUAACUGCAGCAAGCCAGCUUUGACUCGGUGGCUAUCCUAAACUACGACUGCAAGCGACUCUUUUGAGGUGGCGCACACGAGUCCACAUAUUCACCAUAUCAAUACACCACUAUGGAUCCGCUCCCGUCUCCCUAUGAGAACGCCAUCCAUAGCACUCACGCUUAUCUUGCGUAUUUUAAAGUAUCCACUUUCACUUGUCUAUGAACUGAUAUAAACAACCAAGUAGUCCUUUACCGCGGACGCGACUAUUCGAAUAGAUCAUGAUAACCCUGCAGGGGUGUACUUCUUCAUACAUGUUUCCACCACUUAGCGUCUGCACACGACAUGUGCUCGGCAGACUUCAAGCUACCGCAACAAGUAACAGAUGAAUCGAUGUUGUCCUAAUGCAGUAAAAGAGAGCAGGAGCGAGAGAGUGGGAUUGUAUCGGAAUGAACAAGGGGGUUUUGCUUGCCUGGCACUUCUGAAGAUAAUAUUGAGUCUUCAUCAGUGUCAACGAUCACAUCAUCGGUAUCACGUCUAUCGAGAGGGGACAAAUACCGGCAACACAGAAGGGAACACAAUCAAUGCAAUGCACAAUAUGAUGCAUGAUCAUGACAUGGCAAAAUGAAUGUGUUUUGAGCCAAUGCAACUAGCAACAGAUUAAAUGAAGUUGGUUUGAAUACAAGAUUCAAAUUCAAACUCCAUAUGUGAUUAUUUAAAUGCCCUUUAUUUGAUUUGUGCUAAACAGCAACUAUAAGUUGUUCUAACAUGCAUGAAAAUGGUACAGAUGGAUUCCUUGAAUUUUACUGAUAAUUUUUCAUAUAUAAAUUAUUUAAUUUGGAGUUACGGUUGAAUUUCUAUGAAUUUUAGAAGUUUAUACAAUUUUCUGGAAUUUAUAAAUCAUUUCCUAAUUUAUUUUAAUUCCAGAAAGGAAUUAUUGCGUCAGCAUGACCUCAUCCUGACGUCAUCAGGUCAACAGGGCGGGUCCAGGUCAAACNNNNNNNNNNAGAUACCUGGUAUUUCUCUCCUUCCCCACUUUAAGCACAAAGAACAACUUCAGAGGCACAUUGUGCGCUUGCACUUAUUAUUUUUACUGUAUUGUCAGUUCGGUGUUUGUGAGAUAGGCAUUGCUAACUUGCAACUUGUGAACCGGUUUACUCCUUGUCUGUCUCUCUCGGCCCUUGUAUCUUGAUUUUACAUGUACCAGUAGACAUCACUUCUGUUAUUUAGAUACAAGUUUUGUGUUUGGACAUGUGAAUUUUCUCUCACUACUUGAAGGUUUCAUGUGGAAUUUCCGAGAGUACCAAACCAACUCCUAGUUUUUCACCCUUCUGUCAGUCCUUGUAUCUAAAUUAACUGCAACUAUUUUCUGCAAGGAACUGCAUUAAGCAAGAACACAAACCCCUGUCUCCACCACAUAUAUUUCUCAUUGUCAAAGGAAGGUCAUCUUUAGAAAUCUGAAGUCAUGGCUGCCUGUUAGGGUGUCUUUGGAUCCUAAGCAAUUGUAGUGUUAGCUUGCUUAGCAAGGAAAUCUGUUUGGUAAAAGCUAAACUAACCUGGCAAUUCCAUCUAGCCUGCACACGCUAGAAAAGCCUUGCCCCAGCAGGAGGGCCAAUUUGGCUCUCCGUUGGUAAUAAAUGAGUGGAAGAAAGAAAUCAAGGUAACUGCCACUGGAAUUGUGCUUAACCAAGGAGAUUGGUAGCUGAACCAAAUAGCUGGCUUUGCCCACGUAGGCUGUAGCUCAAAAGCCUUGGUUAGCUCGGCAUUGACGGCAAAAGAUAUAAACACACCCUCAAUGACAUCACUCCCUCUAAUUCACAAGUGCUGUUUGGACAUUAGCACGCUCCACACCGUAACUUCGACAAGCAAUUUCUGCUAUCAUGCAUACAUUUAAAUUUUUUCUGAGUGGACAGAGUACCAUAUGUUGACUUAGGUGAACAUUUCUGGUUUGUGCAAUAUAUUUAGUUGCCGAGUUGAUCGAUUAGAUUUAGAUAGAAAGCGUCCAAAUACGAAGAAAAUUGCUGAGCCAUUAAACUGUUUUCUGGAGAUCAAAGUCACCAAGUAUUCUAUGGAGGGCUCGCAGAAUGGCGCCUGUACAGAAAUGAGUUGACUUUGUGUUGUUAUCCGGCUUGUUUAGUUCGUUGACCUAUUUGUGUUUAUUGAUCCAUAUUUAAAUGUUCUCAAUUCACAGUCAACAGGAGGUUGGAUGAGUGGGUUAAACUUGAACAACCUGCUCUCUCUCACGUUGCUCUUCACCUUUGUUUGAAUUCGUUUUGCAUCGUUUGGUAGAACCGGGAUGAAUUUUGAUUAAGUUGUUUGCCCUUUCUUUGUGUUGUGUUCAAUUUCAUCACUGAUUUCCUUGUUAGUACCACUACUUGUUUCUGCGACUAUUCUAAUUGCAGACGACGACAUCAGCAUCCCUACAGAUCUGAAGCGGCCCAUCCUUAAUGGUUUCUACCGCCAUAUCUACCAACCCCGACCGGAUUUAUCAUUGCAUGGGAUCUCUCCUUAUCCGACGCUCACUCUGACGCAUCUGGCAUAGGUAAGCCACUGGUUCCUCCUCUGGUCACCCUCAUGCUCCGUGUAACCAUGGCCACCGAGUUGUGAUGAUUUUUUUUGUACACGAAUGAGAUAAUUUAUGUGUUCCAAACAUUGUGCACAGAUCAUUCUUAUAUUUGCUUGAAUUGGGAAACCCAAUCAAAUCAUCUUCUUUUGUGCUUCCUAUUUGCUGAUCCAUCGUAUGGGUGUACUGUGUAUGUAUGUAAAGGAGAUGGAGAAAGAUAGGAGUUGUAGCUUUUAGAAAUCUUGGUAUUGAUGGGGAAAGAUAGUGAUCACAGUUUCUUUGUUGGAAAGUGUCCAAACUUUUUUUCCCGGAAAUAUAAAUAUGAAUAAAGACAUUGUAUUUCUGUUACCAAAUAAAAAUCAUCUCCUUUUGUGUUUUUUAUGGCUGAUCCAUUUUAUGGGUGUUUUGUGCUUGCAUGUAAAGGGAAUGGGGAAAGAUGGGAGUACUAGCUUUUAGAAACACAUUUACUUAUUGGAAUUCCAGUAUUAAUGGGGGAAGAUAAUAAUCACUGUGUCCAGGUUAGAAAGCUUCCAAUUACGAAGAAAAUAGCCAGAGCUAUUAAACAUUUUUCUGGAGAUUCAAUUCACCUAUUAUAUUUCUGUUCCUCCGAUACUGCUACGUUCUUUUCAUGAUUGGUAACUACAAGUGUUCCCUUUUUGAUUAACAGAAGUGAUUGCAAAGGAGCUGGAUGUGCAGGGCCAUGGAAUCCCGAUGACAGUGGCCAACAUCACCUACAUAGGCAUGAACGACCUCCAUGCUGUUGGCGGCCUUGGCACGCUACUGUUCUACCUUUAUCUCCUGGAGGUCAAGAUGGAUGUUGACAUUCCCAACACUGUUCAGGGUAAUUCAUUCAUUCAUGCCCCAUACUUGGCAUGCUAUUGUUCUAACUUUAUCUCCUGGAGGUCAAGAUGGAGGUCAAGGUGGAUCGGCAGGAGCUAGAAGUAAG
rnacentral:lncRNA from 1 species